rnacentral:misc_RNA from 1 species
GAUGAAGAACGUAGCGAAAUGCGAUACGUAAUGUGAAUUGCAGAAUGCAGUGAAUCAUCGAGUCUUUGAACGCACAUUGCGCCCCCUGGUAUUCCGGGGGGCAUGCCUGUCCGAGCGUCAUUGCUGCCCUCAAGCACGGCUUGUGUGUUGGGCCUCCGUCCUCCUCCCGGGGGACGGGCCCGAAAGGCAGCGGCGGCACCGCGUCCGGUCCUCGAGCGUAUGGGGCUUCGUCACCCGCUCUUGUAGGCCCGGCCGGCGCUUGCCGACACAUCAAUCUUUUUUCCAGGUUGACCUCGGAUCAGGUAGGGAUACCCGCUGAACUUAAGCAUAUCAAUAAGCGGAGGA